GCAUAAGAGCCGUCGCAGCAUUGGAAUGGUCUUCUUACCAACUUUCCAGAUAAAUCCUUGAAGCUUAGUCUCCAGAUAUUGAUCAAUAAAUGCAGCAGUUAGAGGUUGGAACUAAGUCCACUUGUAUGAAUAGAUGACUUCUCAUUCUGCAAAACAUGAACGAUCACAGAUUAAGAGUUUUGCAGAGAGACGUGAAUGAAUUAACCUGCUGAAGUGGUGCUAACUCAUUGACACUCAACUCCUUAUAGCAAAGUAUAGUGGUCCUCCACUCUAGACAACCAUCAACAGGAGAAGGAAGAGUGUACUUUGGCUUUAUCAGUUUCUCAUUGCAAGAUUCAAGUCAUUGUGGGAGUGAUGUACUGAAAAUUGGGGUUUUACUCGGGAAAAGACAAGUAUUUUAGAAAGCAAGUUCUAACUCUACACUGAAGGAGGGAUGUAGGUGAUCGCAAAAUGAAAGAGCCUCCAAUGCAGUGACGAUGCUAUAUUUGUUCAUGGGAUUGGGACCACAUAAAUUCCUUUACAUCCUGAGUUCUUAAAUAUACAAGGAAAGUUUAUUGAGUGUUGAUGGCUUAUGUUUGCUUUGGUGUCAUAUUUUGUGAUGAAUAGUCAGUAAACACUGGAACAGUGAGGCAAACUUCUAAGAACACAUUUGGUCAGUUGGUUUUUGUUGACAUAUUGAUAGUAAUGUCCCUUCUCAAAUAGAAGCGUGUGCCUAGUGUGAGAGGUCAAGAGUUGCCAGGUAACACCUUUGCUUUACUAAUAGGCUCAGUAAAUUUGACAAAAAAUGUUGACAGAAAAAGUUUGGCAAGAGGGAGAGGAACGGAUAUGAUAUCACGGUUUGCCUUUAUUAAGAUGUAGGAUUGUUGGGACAGUAUAUUUGCCCGGAAGAGCUGAACAAUUUCUGAGUUAUCAAAACCCCACAUGAGCCUCCGUAUCUGCUAUUAAUUGAUUCAAUACUUAUCCUUUGCAAUGAACAUCAUCAGGAGUGAACAAAUUUGUCAAUGCUGGGUGACGAUAAAUUAGAAUAGAGAAGCUAACUAACCAAUCAAACACAAUAUUUAAAUUAACAUAUUUUAAUUAUUUUUAGCAAGUGGAUAUGUCCAAUGGACCUACAGAGUAAAAAACAAUAAUGGAACAAAGGACUAGUAUUAGCAAAAUUCAACCAACAUGAGGUGUAGAUAAUUAAUUAGACAGUGCUGUAUUGUGUUUUUAUAUCUUGUAUUGUAAGAAAAUGUUUAGAGUAUUAAACAAACUUUGCAUCCGCUAAUGUCA